rnacentral:RNase_P_RNA from 1 species
AGAAAGGUCUUUGAGGAAAGUCCGGACUUUAAAGAGUGGGAUGCUGGUUAACGACCAGGUGGAGUAAUCCAACGGAAAGUGCAACAGAAAGUAAACCGCCUUCGGGUAAGGGUGAAACGGUGAGGUAAGAGCUCACCAGCGUUUUGGUGACAAGACGGCUCGGUAAACCCCAUCUAAAGCAAGACUAAACAACAAAUUUUAAUACUUGUUAUUAAAAACUAUCUACUCGAUAGAUUUGUGGGUAAGUCGCUACAGAUAUUCAGUAAUGGGUAUCGUAGAUAAAUAUCAACCUCCUAUCCUAGAAUCAUUUUUAGGUAGAGACAGAAUCCGGCUUAUAGCUAGA